AGUGAACGCUGGCGGUAGGCCUAACACAUGCAAGUCGAACGGCAGCACAGUAAGAGCUUGCUCUUACGGGUGGCGAGUGGCGGACGGGUGAGGAAUACAUCGGAAUCUACUUUUUCGUGGGGGAUAACGUAGGGAAACUUACGCUAAUACCGCAUACGACCUACGGGUGAAAGCAGGGGAUCGUCGGACCUUGCGCGAUUGAAUGAGCCGAUGUCGGAUUAGCUGGUUGGCGGGGUAAAGACCCACCAAGGCGGGGAUAGGUAGCUGGACUGAGAGGAUGAUAGGCCGCCCUGGAGCUGGGACACGGACCAUAGUCCUGCGAGACGGCGCAGUGGGGAAUGUUAGACAACGGGCGCAAACCUUAUCCAGCCGUCCCGCGUGGGUGAAGAAGGCCUCGCGGUUGUGAAGCCCUUUUGUUGGUAGAGAAAAGCUGCCGGUUAAUACCCCGCUGUUCUGACGGUACCCGAUGAAUAAGCACCGGCUAACUACGUG
rnacentral:rRNA from 1 species